rnacentral:lncRNA from 1 species
CUCCUAUCCCUGAGCACAGAGGAACAGAUCUCUCUGACAUCAAUUUAAACCAGAAAUGUUUCUCACAAAAAAAGAUUGCACCCACCAUCCUUUCUUUUGCUCCAUCUACAUCAAAAACACCACGUGCUCUUCAACAUCUUUGUGGAUGCCCCAUCCCUGGAGGCAUUCAAGGCCAGGUUGGAUGGGGCCAUGGGCAGCCUGGUCUAGUAUUAAAUGUGGAGGUUGGUGGCCCUGCCUGUGGUGUGGGGGUUGGAGAUUCACGAUCCUUGGGGUCCCUUCCAACCCAGGCCAUUCUGUGAUUCUGUGAUAAAUAGUACAAGGGAUAGUGCAAAUAGGAUUGAGCCAGGGUCCUUUCAGUGGUGCCCAGGGCCAGGACAAGGGGCCCUGGGUACAAACUGAAGCUCAGGAGGAUCCUUCAGGACACCAGGCCUCACUUCUGUAUGCUGCCCUACAGAGGACCUGAAGUUGUCUCCAUGGAGAUCUCCAAAAGCCCCUGGAUGUGGUGCUGGGCACCCUGCUCUGGGUGUCCAUCAGUGGAGCAGGGUUGGGCCAGAGGGAACCAGAGAUGCCUUCAGCCUUAUCCAUUCUGUGAUUUUCCAAAAUCCUUGUUCUUUGCUGGCCUAGCCUUUUGAAACCAGUUACAACACUGCAGAAGAAAUCCUAGGAAAGAAGAGUUGAUCAAAGUUACUUCAUAAGGAGGCUGUAUGAAAUGGGAAAAUAGUUUAUUGACUGUGUAAAUGAAUUUGAAUCCAUUUGGCUCUCAGUGACUAGCUUAUGACUUUUCAUAAAGGAAGAAAAGCCUGAAAGACUGGAACACAGAAAAAAAUAUUUUCUGCAGUUUGUAUUUCCAGCUAUCCUCAUUUCAGUCCUCCCAAAUGCUGCAAAUGUUUGCAGUGUUUUGUCUUCUGUCAGAGGAGAGAAUGGGACAAGGGUUUUGUAUUUAUAGGAAUUAAUGGACUCUUUGGGUAUCUGAAGUGACAGCAGCAAAGUCAGUCUUACAGGAUCAUAUUAUUUCACUUCCACAAAAUUGUUGGGCUCUGCAGAGCUUAGCAGAUCUUUCAUUCAUGGAUAUGACUACAGGUAAUGGUAACUAACAAGUGCAGCAACAUUCAAGCAUCUUUUUUUUAGUGUUUGGUUUGGCAAGCAAUAGCUUUCAUUGCAGCCUGAAACCUCUGUCAGUUGAUUACUGGACCAAUCAUUGUGGCAUCAUAAAAUACCUACUCCUUGCACAAAGCUUUCCUUAUCACACUCCAGGAUUUGUUGACAUGGGGCCAACUUUGUGUACUUACAGACAUUCAUUUAGUUUCUCUACAUUCCUGCUUUAACAGAAGCAAAGCACUGAGGAAGUGAAGAAAUAAUUAAAAAUGAUUCAAAAGUUUCUGACAUUUCUAAGGGACUUUCUCACAAAUUGGGACCCAAAAUUCCUAAUAUAUUAAUUUUAGAAAUGCCUUAUUUCUGAAAGCAAAGUGCCACUGGCAAUUUAAAAAAG